GACGAACGCUGGCGGCGUGCUUAACACAUGCAAGUCGAACGGAAAGGCCCUGCUUUUGUGGGGUGCUCGAGUGGCGAACGGGUGAGUAACACGUGAGUAACCUGCCCUUGACUUUGGGAUAACUUCAGGAAACUGGGGCUAAUACCGGAUAGGAGCUCCUGCUGCAUGGUGGGGGUUGGAAAUUUUCGGCGGUUGGGGAUGGACUCGCGGCUUAUCAGCUUGUUGGUGGGGUAGUGGCUUACCAAGGCUUUGACGGGUAGCCGGCCUGAGAGGGUGACCGGCCACAUUGGGACUGAGAUACGGGCCAGACUCCUACGGGAGGCAGCAGUGGGGAAUAUUGCACAAUGGGCGGAAGCCUGAUGCAGCAACGCCGCGUGCGGGAUGACGGCCUUCGGGUUGUAAACCGCUUUCGCCUGUGACGAAGCGUGAGUGACGGUAAUGUGUAAAGAAGCACCGGCUAACUACGUG
rnacentral:rRNA from 1 species